rnacentral:rRNA from 1 species
GUUGCACUGUGCUAUGAACUGGAAGCAGGUGGGAAACUGCGCGASAAGGGUGAGAGCCCCGUACAGGCAAAGAAUACAGGCAUAGUGGUAUCCUGAGUACCGCGGGACCGGAGAAAUCCUGUGGGAAUCCGCCAGCACCAUCUGGCAAGGCUAAAUACUCCUGAGAGACCGAUAGUGGACCAGUACCGUGAGGGAAAGGUGAAAAGAACCCCGAACAGGGGAGUGAAAAGAACCUGAAACCGUGUGCUUACAAGCGGUCGGAGCGGAGCGAUUCCGUGACGGCGUGCCUUUUGCAUAAUGAGCCUACGAGUUACUCUUGUCCGGCAAGGUUAAUGGCUUAAGGCCAGGAGCCGAAGCGAAAGCGAGUCUGAACAGGGCGCAGAGUCGGACGAGGUAGACGCGAAACCUUGUGAUCUACCCUUGGGCAGGUUGAAGGUGCGGUAACACGUACUGGAGGACCGAACCGAUAAACGUUGAAAAGUUUCCGGAUGACCUGAGGGUAGGGGUGAAAGGCCAAUCAAACUGGGAAAUAGCUCGUACUCCCCGAAAUGUUUUUAGGAACAGCGUCGGCAUGGAGUCUAGCAGAGGUAGAGCUACCGAUUGGGUGCGGGGGAGUCAAAUCCUACCAAAUCCAGACGAACUCCGAAUGCUGCUAGAUAUGGCCGGCAGUGAGGCUUUGGGUGCUAAGGUCCAAGGCCGAGAGGGAAAGAACCCAGACCAUCAGCUAAGGUCCCCAAAUCCGUUCUAAGUUGAACUAACGAGGUCCGGUUGCCCAGACAGCUAGGAUGUUGGCUUGGAAGCAGCCAUUCAUUUAAAGAGUGCGUAACAGCUCACUAGUCGAGCGGCCGGGCGUGGAUAAUAAACGGGCAUCAAGAACGGUACCGAAGCUAUGGAUUGCAACCUYUGGUUGCACUGGUAGGGGAGCAUUCCAUCGGGGGCGAAUCCGCAGGGUGACCUGUGGUGGACCUGAUGGAAAAGCAAAUGUAGGCAUAAGUAACGAUAAGGCGGGUGAGAAACCCGCCCACCGAAAGACCAAGGUUUCCUGAUCAACGCUAAUCGGAUCAGGGUCAGUCGGGACCUAAGGCGCAUCCGAAGGGAGGCAGCCGAUGGCCAACGGGUUAAUAUUCCCGUACUGUUGAUGACUGCGAUGUGGUGACGGAGUAGUGACACUGCCGCGAACUGACGGAAUAGUUCGUUGAAGGGCAAAGGUAUUGGACCGGUAGGCAAAUCCGCCGGUACAGCCGAAGCCCGAUAGUACAGCAAACCCUCGGGGGCGCUGAUAGCGCAGGUAAGCAGACUUCCAAGAAAACCCGCUAAGCUCCAGGUCAUCAAGACCCGUACCGCAAACCGACACAGGUGGUCGAGGAGAGGAUCCUAAGGUGCUCGAGUGAAUCAUGGCUAAGGAACUCGGCAAAAUGGCCCUGUAACUUCGGGAGAAGGGGCGCUUCCUCCACCUCCGGGUGGAGAAGCCGCAGUGAAAAGGCCCAGGCGACUGUUUAGCAAAAACAUAUGGCUUUGCGAAAUCGAAAGAUGAGGUAUAAGGCCUGACACCUGCCCGGUGCUGGAAGGUUAAGAGGGGAUGUCAUCCKCMRGGAGAAGCAUUGAAUCGAAGCCCCAGUAAACGGCGGCCGUAACUAUAACGGUCCUAAGGUAGCGAAAUUCCUUGUCGGGUAAGUUCCGACCUGCACGAAUGGUGUAACGAUCUGGGCGCUGUCUCAGCCAUGAGCUCGGUGAAAUUGUGGUAUCGGUGAAGACGCCGGUUACCCGCAACGGGACGGAAAGACCCCAUGAACCUUCACUAUAGCUUAACAUUGAAAUUGGGUACAGGAUGUGUAGGAUAGGCGGGAGUAGUCGAAGCGGUUUCGCCAGGAAUCGCGGAUACGCCCUUGAAAUACCGCCCUUUCUGUAUUCGGUUUCUAAUCCCGGCAUCCGGGAGACAUUGUUUGGUGGGUAGUUUGACUGGGGUGGUCGCCUCCAAAAAGGUAACGGAGGCUUUCAAAGGUAAGCUCAGUACGCUUGGUAACCGUACGAGGAGUGCAAUGGCAUAAGCUUGCUUGACUGUGAGACCUACAAGUCGACCAGGGUCGAAAGACGGACAUAGUGAUCCGGUGGUUCUGUAUGGAAGGGCCAUCGCUCAAAGGAUAAAAGGUACUCUGGGGAUAACAGGCUGAUCUCCCCCAAGAGCUCAUAUCGACGGGGAGGUUUGGCACCUCGAUGUCGGCUCGUCACAUCCUGGGGCUGGAGAAGGUCCCAAGGGUUGGGCUGUUGUGGGCGCUGGAAGUUUGAGUGGAUCUGACCUUAGUACGAGAGGACCGGGUUGGACGGACCGCUGGUGAACCUGUUAUGCCGCCAGGUGUACGGCAGGGUAGCUACGUCCGGGAUAGAUAAGCGCUGAAAGCAUCUAAGUGCGAAACUAGCCACGAGAUGAGACUUCCUCAUAAGGGUCGUCGGAGAUUACGACGUCGAUAGGCCACAGGUGUAAAGGUUGAGAGACCAAAGCCGAGUGGUACUAAUAGCCCGAAGCUUUCCAAU